rnacentral:rRNA from 1 species
UACGUAGGUGGCGAGCGAUGUCCGGAUUCAUUGGGUUUAAAGGGUGCGUAGGCGGCCAAUUAAGUCAGUGCUGAAAUACCCCGGCUUAACCGGGGGAGUGGCAUUGAUACUGGUUGGCUUGAGUGCUGUCGAGGCAGGCAGCAUUGACGGUGUAGCGGUGAAAUGCUUAGAUAGCGUCAGGAACACCGAUAGUGAAGACAGCUUGCCAGAGAGUAACUGUCGAUGAUGCACCAAAGUGUGGGGGGCAAACAGG